GUAGGGGCCAAGCGUUAUCCGGAUUUAUUGGGCGUAAAGAGCUCGUAGGCGGCUUGGCAAGUCGGUCGUGAAAGUCCGAGGCUCAACCUCGGAAUGCCGGUCGAAACUGCCAUGGCUAGGGCUCGGUAGAGGAGAGUGGAAUUCUCGGUGUAGCGGUGAAAUGCGCAGAUAUCGAGAGGAACACCAGUAGCGAAGGCGGCUCUCUGGGCCGAUACCGACGCUGAGGGGCGAAAGCGUGGGGAGCAAACAGGGAUUAGAUACCCUGGUAGUCCACGCCGUAAACGGUGAUCACUAGGUGUGGCGGACUCAUUGACGUCUGCUGUGCCGGCGCUAACGCAUUAAGUGAUCCCGCCUGGGAGUACGGCCGCAAGGCUA
rnacentral:rRNA from 1 species